rnacentral:rRNA from 1 species
UUCAUAAUAACUUAACGAAUCGCAUGGCCUUGCGCCGGCGAUGGUUCAUUCAAAUUUCUGCCCUAUCAACUUUCGAUGGUAGGAUAGUGGCCUACCAUGGUCUCAACGGGUAACGGGGAAUUAGGGUUCUAUUCCGGAGAGGGAGCCUGAGAAACGGCUACCACAUCCAAGGAAGGCAGCAGGCGCGCAAAUUACCCAAUCCCAAUUCGGGGAGGUAGUGACAAUAAAUACUGAUACAGGGCUCUUUUGGGUCUUGUAAUUGGAAUGAGUACAAUCUAAAUCCCUUAACGAGGAACAAUUGGAGGGCAAGUCUGGUGCCAGCAGCCGCGGUAAUUCCAGCUCCAAUAGCGUAUAUUAAAGUUGUUGCCGUUAAAAAGCUCGUAGUUGAACCUUGGGUCUGGCCGCUCUGUCCUCCUAAUCGAGCGCACGGAGUCGGUCGGACCUUUCCUUCUGGGGAGCCCGAUGCCCUUCACUGGGCGUCGCGGGGAACCAGGACUUUUACCUUGAAAAAAUUAGAGUGUUCAAAGCAGGCCUUUGCUCGAAUACAUUAGCAUGGAAUAAUAGAAUAGGACAGAGGUUCUAUUUUGUUGGUUUCUAGGACCGCUGUAAUGAUUAAUAGGGAUAGUCGGGGGCGUCCGUAUUCAAUUGUCAGAGGUGAAAUUCUUGGAUUUAUUGAAGACGAACUACUGCGAAAGCAUUCGCCAAGGAUGUUUUCAUUAAUCAGUGAACGAAAGUUAGGGGAUCGAAGACGAUCAGAUACCGUCGUAGUCUUAACCAUAAACUAUGCCGACUAGGGAUCGGACGGUGGUUUUUUUAUGCCCCGUUCGGCACCUUACGA